rnacentral:pre_miRNA from 1 species
AUAACCCUGAGGAUCUUGUUAAAAAGCAGAUUUGGAUUCAAUUUGUCUCAGGUGGGGCUUGGGAUUCUGUAUUUCUGACAGGAUCCCAGAUGCUGAG